UUCACUGCCAUGGGCAUUCUGGUGAACCCAGACCAGAAGCUAUGGGCCUGAGCUGGCCUUGGGAAGAAAGCCCAAAGCAAUCCACAUUAAGCAGGUCAAACAAUUCUUGUGAAAUGAUUGCUGUUUCAGGAACUCCAGGGCUCCACUUUGGACUUUUCUUAAUAUAAUAUGGAUGUUAUAAUAGUUCUUCCUAGUGAUGAAAGCUCCAGCUACAACUUGCAUUUAUAGUCUUUCUUCUUGAGAGGAUCCCGAAAGGCUGUCAGUUACCACCUACCAGCAGACCUCCUUGUGAAGCUGGGCUGCAGCCUGCUGUUUGAAAUGACAGGUUCUGCCAGUGACUCUAAAGGAUGCUUACUUACAGCUCCCAUGUCAUGGUCUGAAGACACAUGAAUGAUGCACCCAUCUUGUCAAAGCAAAUUUGGCCCAGGACUAAUCACUGCCUGCAUGGGAGAGCACUAUGUAUGCAUAAUGGAAGAAAGGUGGAAUACAAAUGUAAUGAAGAACUCACCCCUGGGCUAUUUUUUGUUAAUACCAUAAUGGAUAUUGGCUCUGGCGCUUUCAAUCUACACUGAAAUUAAUGAUGGAGUGUGUGCAGGGGAUACAUAAGUUUGUGCUUACCUACCUGCAUGCAUUGUGGAAUCAACAUGUAAAUCAGGGUCAGCUUUUGCCUUAAGUAUAUAGUGGAAUGCAUAAGAACAUCACAGAAGACAAAAAUAUUAGAGAGAAUAACUGAUGACAGUACCAGAGGAGCAACAUCCAGAUGUUAUCAGAGGAAGCUGUAUUCAUGUCCAGCCUCCAAAAAUGAGGCAGAAGUCCCAUCUGGCGCAUCAAUCACUCUCCCCUGCCAGGGAGGUUAGUUACACUUACAAUCUUUGUCUGCAGAGAGUGAAGGCUGUAAGUGUGAUUGUGCACCUUCCCGUGAUCGGGAGACUGAGGCGGCCCACUCUCCCAAUCACGGGAAGGUGCACAAUCAUGCUCUCAGCAUUAGUGUCUUCAGACAAAGGCUGUACUGAUCUGUCCAGCAGGGAGAGUGAUUGACAUGCUGGGUGGAACUUCUGCUUCAUUUUCAGAGGCUGGUACAGCCUCAGUUUAUAAUGUCUGAAUGAGGUUAGGAUUUCUAAGCGUCCUACACUAUUACAUUCCAGGCAUUCAGAUCUGGCUAAUAUCAGAGAUUGAUUGCUAGCUGAUUCAAUAAGACUGUUUUAUUACAUGAUUUAUAUUGCAGUAUAUUACCACAAUUUACACUAUUCAUAUGAGUAUAAUCAUUACUAAAAUGUCAAAUAAUUCUUUACACUUGGUGCCUUUGAAGUAAAUAAAAUUACAUAUUCUUUGAA